rnacentral:rRNA from 1 species
CUACGGGGCGCAGCAGCUGAGGAUCUUUUACAAUGCACGAAAGUGUGAUAGAGCGAGCCAGAGUGUUGUUCUUAGAACAACUUUUAUCUGCUGUAAAAAGGCAGAUGAAUAAGGACUGGGCAAGACCGGUGCCAGCCGCCGCGGUAAUACCGGCGGUCCAAGUUGCAUCCAUUUUUAUUGGGUCUAAAACAUCCGUAGCUUGCUUUGUAAGUUUCUUGUGAAAUCUCAUGUCUCAAGCAUGAGGCUUGCAAGAAAUACUGCAGAGCUAGAGACCGGAAGACGUAAGGAGUAUGAUUGAGGUAGCGGUAAAAUGUGUUAAUCUUGAUCAGACUAACAACGGCGAAGGCACCUUACGAGUACGGAUCUGACAGUGAGGGAUGAAGGCUAGGGGCGCAAAACGGAUUAGAUACCCGCGUAGUC